GACAGAGGGUGCAAACGUUGUUCGGAAUUACUGGGCGUAAAGCGUGUGUAGGCGGCUAGGUAAGUCGGAUGUGAAAGCCCCGGGCUCAACUCGGGAAGUGCACUCGAUACUGCUUAGCUCGAGUACCGGAGAGGUUGGUGGAAUUCUCGGUGUAGAGGUGAAAUUCGUAGAUAUUGGGAAGAACACCAGUGGCGUAGGCGGCGACCUGGUCCUUUACUGACGCUGAGGCGCGAAAGCGUGGGGAGCAAACAGG
rnacentral:rRNA from 1 species